rnacentral:rRNA from 1 species
UCGGGCCUUGCGCUAUUCGAGCGGCCGAUAUCUGAUUAGCUAGUUGGUGGGGUAAAGGCCUACCAAGGCGACGAUCAGUAGCGGGUCUGAGAGGAUGAUCCGCCACACUGGGACUGAGACACGGCCCAGACUCCUACGGGAGGCAGCAGUGGGGAAUUUUGGACAAUGGGCGCAAGCCUGAUCCAGCCAUGCCGCGUGUCUGAAGAAGGCCUUCGGGUUGUAAAGGACUUUUGUCAGGGAAGAAAAGGCUGUUGCUAAUAUCAGCGGCUGAUGACGGUACCUGAAGAAUAAGCACCGGCUAACUACGUGCCAGCAGCCGCGGUAAUACGU